UUCUCCAUAGCUCAGUUGGCUAGAGCGUCUGACUGUUAGGCCUGUUCAACAGGCAAAGCAUAUCAGGAGGUCCACAGUUCAAGCCUGUGUGGGGAAG